UACGGAGGGUGCAAGCGUUAUCCGGAUUCACUGGGUUUAAAGAGUGCGUAGGUGGGUCUGUAAGUCAGUGGUGAAAUCUCCAAGCUUAACUUGGAAACUGCCGUUGAUACUAUAGACCUUGAAUGCUGUGGAGGUGAGCGGAAUAUGUCAUGUAGCGGUGAAAUGCUUAGAUAUGACAUAGAACACCAAUUGCGAAGGCAGCUUACUAAGCUAUGAUUGACGCUGAGGCACGAAAGCGUGGGGAUCAAACAGG
rnacentral:rRNA from 1 species